rnacentral:rRNA from 1 species
CGGCAACAGCUCAAAUUUGAAAUCUGGCUCUUUCAGAGUCCGAGUUGUAAUUUGCAGAGGGUGCUUUGGUGGUAGUUGCGGUCUAAGUUCUUUGGAACAGGACGUCACAGAGGGUGAGAAUCCCGUACGUG